GAAUUCGCCCUUAGAGGUUGAUCCUGGCUCAGGACUAACGCUGGCGGCGUGCCUAAUACAUGCAAGUCGAACGGUCGUGCGUUUGUAGCAAUAUGGACGUACGAUAGUGGCGAACGGGUGAGUAACACGUGGAAAACCUACCCUCGAGCGGGGGAUAACUCCGGGGAACUGGGGCUAAUACCGCAUGACAUCCCAACCUGGCAUCGGGAGGGGAUCAAAGCCGAAAGGCACUUGAGGAUGGUUCCGCGGCCUAUCAGCUAGUUGGCGGGGUAACGGCCCACCAAGGCGACGACGGGUAGCCGGCCUGAGAGGGCGAUCGGCCACAAGGGGACUGAGACACGGCCCCUACUCCUACGGGAGGCAGCAGUAGGGAAUUUUGCUCAAUGGGGGAAACCCUGAAGCAGCGACGCCGCGUGGGCGACGAAAUCCUUCGGGAUGUAAAGCCCUUUUAACCGGGACGAAAUACAUGACGGUACCGGUGGAAUAAGCCUCGGCUAACUCCGUGCCAGCAGCCGCGGUAAGACGGGGGAGGCAAGCGUUGUCCGGAAUCACUGGGUGUAAAGGGCGUGUAGGCGGGCCGGCUAGUCGGUUGUUAAAUCUCUCCGCUCAACGGAGAAGCUGCGGCCGAUACUUCCGGUCUUGAGUGCGGCAGGGGAGGAUGGGAUUCCUGGUGUAGCGGUGAAAUGCGUAGAUAUCAGGAGGAACACCGGUGGCGAAGGCGGUCCUCUGGGCCUGCACUGACGCUGAGUGCGCGAAAGCUGGGGUAGCAAACAGAAUUAGAUACUCUGGUAGUCCCAGCCCUAAACGAU
rnacentral:rRNA from 1 species